AUCCACAGAGACAACUUUCUCUCCUAUCCUCCCUGUAAACCCUAACCAAAAACUUCAUCGCCGCUUUUAUUUUUGUGGCAAUCAGAGGUAACAUAGUUGGAUUCAAGCGAUGGUGGUUUGAUAUGCCGACCAUGACGGUGCUUUAGGGUUUAGAAGAUGCUGAUGCUCUGCUUGCUCAUUCAUCCAAUCUUAUAUCUCUCGAUUUGUUACAGUUAAACGCCAUUAUUGUUUGAUUUGCUUUCAUCGAUUUGUUUCGGUUACUAUUAUCGAAAAUUAGUUGUGCGUUCAUCAGCCGAUGAUGGUGGUGUUUAGGGUUGGAGAAACGAUGAUGGUGGUGGGCAGUGUGUUUCUCGGUUCAAUCGACAUGAAAUUAAAGGACGAUUCUUUGGUUGUGGAUCGGUGUGGAGUGUGGCCUGUGGUUAUGGCUAGAGUUUAAGGUAUUAAAAUCAUGAUGACGAUGAAACAAGCUGGAGAUGAAACUGAUGAGCUAACAAACUAGAGCAUUCCGGAGAAAGCGAUUUGGUGGAACGUUUUAAUGGAUCAAACUCCCCAUUCCGGCUUAGUUUAAAUCUAUGGAGAAGACGAUUAAAAUUUGGUGGAGACAAGCUGGGUUAAACAGCUAAGCUGGAAAAGGGGUUUAUAUUGGGUUGUUUUUGUACUUUGUGCUGGAUACCAAAGGUGAGAAACUAGAAUCAUGUGCAAGCAACAUGUUGCCUCUGUUCGCAUUGUUUCAUGUGAUUCACUUCGCUUUUGCUUGGUUACUUGUCAGAUUGCAUCCAUGGCGGAUGUAUCCUCUUUUCUUUGAAGAUGAUACAUUUCGUAUCUUGGGUUUGGAUUUGAGACAAUGAGUGCAACUGUCAUGGGUCGUCCCUAUGGUGCAAAGUUGUUAUAAAAGUUACAUUUUAAUGCGUGACUAUCGAGAUGCAACCCACGUUGUUGCUGCACGGACGCGAGGCGAAUUCUAUCAGAAUUGGUUCGUUAAAAUGAAAAAGUGGUCUUUGGAGGAGCACUACAAAUGCAUAAAAACCGACUUAGAACACGUAUAAAUGAUGAGCAAAGGGUGGGAAUCGAAACGGCAAACCCACGGUUAUGGAAAUAUGGGAUAACCCGAAAAUCGUGUCACACACAUGAACCUGAACACCACACAAGUAUUCGCGGGUCAACACAAACACGACCCUUUUAACCUUAAAAAGUUUGUUUAGUUAUUUUUUUGGCAUAUUAAUACUUUAAAUUUCUAAAUUUACAUAUUAUUUUUGUUUUUAUUAAGUAAUUAUUUUUGAAGUAUGUAAAGUUAUAUUUAAACUUUUAAGUUCUGGCAAAAAAAACCCAAAUAGGCAAAUAGUGUAAGUUAUUAAACUGGUCAAUCCGUGAACCCAUUGGGUUGAGACAAACACGACCUUUUUGUCUGAAAGUGUAUGUGAGGUCGACCCAAAGUUGAUCCGUAUCCGUUUAGAUCAGACUCAAACCCGCGAAUUUUGUGUUAGGUUCGUGUCAUGUAUGAAGUUCAUAUUACUAACUAAUACAAGAAACCAAGAAAAUGUGUUUUUUGGAAUAUUACUAGAGAAAUUACUUACAGAUGAUAUGAAUUACGGCCUCAUAAAGUCUAUCUGAACCCUCACAAACUGAAACUCCUCAAGUAUUGGACAUGGCAAUUUGUAGUGAUCCGGCCCGUUCUGUCGUAAUGAUCGUUCUUCGGCUCUUUGAAAUAUACCAUUAUUGGCUUCGCUGGACGAUCACUAUAAUAUUAAACAUAUCGGUUUCAUUGGCGUUGUAUGCUCUUGUGGCUUUCUACCAUGUAUUCGCUAAAGAAUUAGUCCCACAUAACCCUCUUGCAAAGUUUUUAUGUGUCAAAGGGAUUGUCUUCUUCUGUUAUUGUCCGGGAGUGUUGCUAAGUAUUUUGGCGGCAAUGGAUAUACUCAUGCCUGAACAUUAUUGGCUAGAUGCAGCACAUGUUCAGCAAGCACUUCAAAACAUACUGGUGGUUGUGAAGAUGAUAUCUAUAUAUCUAUAUAUAUUAAUAAAUGAGAUGAUUUGGACCAUUUGUCUUUGAAUGGUGGAGCCAUUUUCCUUAUGUGGCAUGUUAUGGUGGAGUGGAGGUUGAUUUUGGGAGGGAAGACACAAUAUUAGAUGUAUUGAGAACUGGACACGGGAUCCGAAUUAUAAUCGGGUCAUAGUUAAUGGAUCCUUUAUAUUUCUUUUUUUCUCAUUCUUCUUUCACACAAUUGCUUUUUACUCAUCCACAAACCCUAUAAAAACAAAGCUGCAACUCUCUCUCUCCCUCUUAUCACCACCGCCAAUAUCCUCCAUCAGUUCCACAAGAUCACAAGAUGACAACGUUUCCUUCUGGUUGAAGCAUCUACGAUCCAGACAAUACAAUCCAUCGGAAACCCUAAAUCAAUCGACGCCGCCACCACAAUCAUUCGGUUCUUAAUCAACCUCCGAAGAUGCCAUUUCAUCUCUGCGUUGGAUUCCCAAUUGUAUUUCAUCGAUCCAUCGUUUGCUCAUAGGAAAUGUAUUCAGAAAUGCUGCAAUAAGAAAGGGCAUAUAACCUGUGAGAUUUGCAAUCAGAUUUAUUCACCGGAUUACGCCCUUCCACCAGCUACAACCAAUCCAGAUGUCAUGACUAUUGAUAUCAGGCAUGCAUGGGGCCCGCAAAUCGAUCUCCGAGAUGCUCACUUCUUGGAUUUUGCUUCUGAUGAUCAGUUUCUUGAACCGGUUUAUGAAGAUUACGGUGUAGGAAGUAAUAACAACAAUGCGUACCUCCGGUUUAUGGCUCUCAUUUUGAUGUUAAUAUUGCUGAUACGUCAAGCUUUAUUGGUCACAAGAGACCUCGGGAUGCUGCCAGAAUCGUCAAAAUUCUUUAACAAAUAUAAUAAUCGAGAAUGAUAUCGGGUUCGAGAUUGAGGGCAGGUGCGGUCGAGUUGGAGUAAAUGGAGGAUUCAUAGUAUAUUCAUAAAGACGUUCAGAAAGGAUGCCUAGCUUUGUAAACUGCGAGAAAAUUAUUCGCAAAUCAGGGUUGUUUUCAACUAAUGAAACCAAGGAAGAACCCAGCACUACAAAUCUCAAGUAUAUUCUGUGUUAGAAACAGAUUCAUAUAUAUGAUUUUGAUUUUGGGAACAAGUCCCAAUUUAUCUUGCUGAAUUGACUUAGAAAACUGGACACAAUGACGACAAGAUAUAGAUUCUGAAGGCUUUACAAUCUAAGUUGAAGAUUCAACGAUGGCGGACACUUGCGGGAGAUAUUUUUGUUUGUUGGACAACCUGUAAAUGGCAAUGUACUCAUUACCCGUUUAAAUAUAAUAAUCGAGAACAAGAUCGGGUUCGAGAUCGAGGACAUGUGCGGUCGAGUUGGAGUAAAUGGAGGAUUCAUAGUAUAUUCAUAGUUAAGUUAGAAGACGUUGAGAAAGGAUGCGAAGCUUUGCAAACUACGAGAAAAUUAUUAGCAAAUCAGGGUUGUUUUCAACUAAUAAGACCAAGGAAGAAACCAGCACUACAAAUCUCAAGUAUAUUCUGGUCCCAGUUUAUCUUGCUGAAUUGACUGAGAAAACUGGACACAAUGAUGACAAGAUAUAGAUUUUGAAGACUUUACAAUCUAAGUUGAAGGUGUUGUUCAUUAUCGAAUUAAGGUAUAACUUUUUUAACAUAAUGUGCCUAACUUUGAAUAUGUGGGAAUUUCUUUCAUUUUGUGAUGCAAUGGAGCUUCUGCCUGAAGAUGAAUCCUUACAAGGAACUCAUGUCGACAGGCGUCCUAUCCCGCCACCCCUCACCCCCCCGGGGUGUUAUACGAUGAAAAUCCAGAAUCUCGCAAGAAGUAUAACGGGUGAAAAAGUUGGGGUUUGUAAUUAUUACCAUUGAAUGAUAAGAUUCUUUUUUUUUAUUAUUAUUUUUUAACUAUUAAAACAUUAUAUAACAUUUGGGAUGUGUUUUAACUUUGAAGUUUAUCAUUGUAGAAAUGAUUAUCGAACAAACAAACAUAUUAUUUUGUGGUUUA